UACAGAGGGUGCAAGCGUUAAUCGGAAUUAUUGGGCGUAAAGCGCACGUAGGCGGCUUUGCAAGUCCCAUGUGAAAUCCCACGGCUCAACCGUGGAAGUGCAUGGGAAACUGCAGAGCUUGAGUACUUAAGAGGAUCGCGGAAUUCCCGGUGUAGAGGUGAAAUUCGUAGAUAUCGGGAGGAACACCAGUGGCGAAGGCGGCGAUCUGGGAAGAUACUGACGCUGAGGUGCGAAAGCGUGGGGAGCAAACAGG
rnacentral:rRNA from 1 species